UCCAGAAGAAGAAACCGCCUAAAGAAAGUGCACGGAAUCCUUAGUAGCGAAUUUUAUUUUAAUGCUCAACGUGGACUUCCUAAGUUUUCUCUUCCACCCCUGUUUGUUUGUGAAGAAUCUGGGGAGUUUGUGAGUGCAAAUACAUAUAUUUUUCACCUGAGUGCAGUUAGUUGCCUCUCUACCCGUUCUCCCUCUGGAUAAAUCCAAUUUCAAAACUGGAAAAAAUACUAGAAAAGUAAAACGAACUCUCAAAGGUGCAGACUUGUCCUCAAGGUCCAACUGUGCUCCGCUUUGCUCCUGCCUUAUCCGCACAGAGACGCUACACACCUAUUGGAGCCGGUUUGUCCAGAAGCUGUUUCUUAAGAGCGACUGGUGACGCUGGGUCUGGGCUCUGAGCAACGUGCCCAGCUGUUUCUGUGCUUAGUUACCCAAGUCUGCACGGUCUGAUUAACCCAAAUUUUAGAACACUGAUCCCAGAGAGGGAAGAAACCAUCUGUGGAAUUUACCCCUGGAUGGACCUGACGUCCUGAGAGUUCCAGAAUCCAAGGAGAACCCGACAACUUUUCACUGAGCAAGGAACUGAUCACACUAAAGUGUAAAGAAAUCUCAAGAUUAAAAAUAAGCAUCAAAACCCACAGAGAUCUCAGGAGGUGAAGGAGCAUGGUGAGCUAUCUUGGGAUGGAGCCAGAGUAUUGAUGAACCAGGAAAAAGGUUCUAUUUGAAAAGGCCUGUGAUAAACCAAGUGACUGACCUCAUCAAAUGGACUGGAGAUCUUCAAUGGCUAAGCCACAGUUGACAAAAGAUGGAAUUCACUAAAUUCUUAAGAGACUGCAGACUCUGUGUCUAACCUAUUUCAUCCCUGGAUAUAUCCAACUAUGUGUUAAACUUAAAAUGGAUCAUGGGAGAUAGGUAUCAUUCUUUUUUUAUUUCAGUAGUGUGCUUGGGGGAAUAAAAAGGAAGAAAAAUGUCAAAAUAGUUUUUCUCUAAUUGAGCGAGUUGACUUGUAUUUCCAUGUUUAUAGACAUGUAUCACUGAAUGAGAAACCAGAACUUCAAAAGCUAUAGCACGAUUCCGGCUGUGACAAUGACUCUUUGCUCUUUGAUAUUCAGAUUUUCUCAAUUCAGCACUGGAAAUGACUGGGGAUUUUUUUUUUUUUCUGCAGUUUUGUCAGCCUAAGUUUUGUAGAGCAUUUUUCCUGUGAUAAGAAAAACUGAUGUGUAGAAACACAAUGAUAACAUUACCAACUUUGCAAACAUUGGCCCAUCCAAAAUGUGGGAUUUUGCAUAUGCUAGAAAGAUAAGAAAUGGCAUUCGAUGGAAUCUCUACGAGCCUCAUUCGUUAGACUUUUCUUCCUUAAUUACUAUUAAGGACCGUAAGUAUGAAAUUUGAGGUAUCUUCUCAACUUUCAUAUUCUCCGUCUCUCCCUUUCUGACGCAGAAACUGUAGACUAGUUCUUCAUGCUGAAUAUGCCUCAUGGCAAGAGAAUCUGACCUGACCUGCUCUAAGUGGCACGGCCACGACUUGCGCGUCAAGGCUCUUACCCCUCCACUCCAUCGUUUUAUUCCAAUUUACAAACCUCCUAA